rnacentral:tmRNA from 1 species
GGGGAUGAUCGGUUUCGACAUUGCCUGCAAAACUGCGAGAAGCGGGUCGAGGAUGCAGAGUUAUCUCGUUAACGAUCUCUGUAAACCAAUAAGUGCCGAUACUAAGAGCACUGUCUCGGCUAAGGCCGACUUCGCCCUCGCGGCGUAGUCUCCUUACCCACUAAAAGAGACCGUCAGCCCGGGGAUGCCCUCUAUCCGGGUCCUGACGUCAUCUAGAGGGAUUGCUGCGCGGUUACGCCUUGGGACCGCGCGGGACUUGCACUAGGGCUGGGCCUGUCGACUUAGGUGCUUGUGGCAAAGGUCGGGGCCGAGUAGAACGCUUUCACAAGCUACGCCCGUAGAAGGCGCAGGAUUACAGCAGUGGACGGGGGUUCAAUUCCCCCCAUCUCCACAA